rnacentral:lncRNA from 1 species
GGAUACUGUUUCAUACAAACUGAAUACAUUUAACUAGCAAAUGAUAUCUCUACUUUUUCCUUUCAAAGAUAAUGACACUCCUUUUUUCCCCCUCAGUCAUCAUUGCCUAGAAUACCCUACUUCAAACAAUGAAACUCACUUUCAAUCUAUCAUCAUCUUUCACUCUUCAGUGAAACCCCAUGUAGCUUCCAGAUGCGGUUUCAGGAUUUCUCUAUAUUGUUGGAGAAACUGAAAGUCAUAGAGGACACCAAGCAUCAU